GUCGGGAUUGCAGGAGGUGCAGGGCGUCACGGGGGGCCGGGUGGUCUCCGUGUUGUCGUGGAUGUGUUCUGGAAGGACGCCGCGCUGCUGGAGGAGAACUCUGGGAGCGGAGGAGCAGAUGUCCACGUGUGGCUUGGCCGACUCUGGAUCAGGCACGCAGUCUGGAUGGAUGGAAAUGAAGUCUGCUGCCUGCUCUCUGUCCAGCGUGAAGCAGCACACCCCCACGGACGGCCCCACCGCCACCACGAUGUCGCCGUACCGACAACCAAAAUUCGUCACCAUGGCGUCCACGGUUGCCGUGGCCACGCCCAUCAAGGUCCCUCUCCAACCUGGGAAUUGACGUCGAGUCACAUGAUCAACAACAGGAUGUUGCCACUGGCUCAAACUAAGAAGAAGACGACGACGACAGGAAGAAGGUGAUAUUGGAACAGCAAGUUUCUUAAUGGUGGGGAAAAAAAAAGAUUUUGUACAGUGAUAUCAAUGUCUGAUACUAAAGAGGUAGUGUUACGUAAAACUGAAUUUUUCGAGCUUUACUUCAUGUUAUAAUGUUUUUCACCUCAUCAAAAACUUACCUUGAGUGUUGCCUUGAUUCUUUCAAGCGUGUUUCAGAAAUCCCUUAAUCGCCCAUGGCAACCAUUCAGUUGUGCAAAAUGCCUCGGUGGACCUGGCCCCGCCUUCUAGCCCCAGCUCCUCCUCCUCUGAGCUUCUGCUUCACAGAGCAGUCCCCCUCCUCCCUUUCAUUCAGCUCCUUCAGACUAGCCAGCAGCAAUUAGCAAACACCUGGUGAUGUCAGAUGUGCAUCAUCUGACAUCAUUAUAGGAGCUACUUCUCUUGUUAAAGGGUUAAUAGAGGAGCCAUGUUGUGAUGACUUCCUUAAGGCGGAGUUUCAGAAAAACUAGGAGCUUCUUAAAGGGACAGAGGCCCAAUUUCAAGGUGUUAAAUUCCAAAGUUUUUCAAGUCACAUUUGAUAUGUAUAUAGCCUUUUUAUAAUAACUGAUGGUAACAUUA